GGAGCUGCCUUCGCCCGGGAAGAUCCGAAGAGCUGCUAGAGGAAAAUAAGGCAGGCAUCCCGAGAAAGUCUCCAGCUUCCCAAAGAGAAGGAAAACAGAGAGCAGUGACCGCUUCAGGCAACGGCAACAAACUGCAUUGGGAUCACGCAAGAGAUGUAGAGACCUCACCCCCUCCCAAAUGAGCAUCUCAUCACCAGACUGGGUUCUCCACCAGCUCCCAUGUCCAUAGACAUGACAAUGCAGGUAUCCAAUGGAUUAAGCUGUACCCUGAAAGGUAUGUUACCAUCCCACCAAGCUAUUGACAAUGAACCCCCACAAAAUAUCCUAACUUGGAUGGGAUCCACAAGGAUCAUUGAAGUCCAGCUACAACCCUAUAACCCUUCAACUUCACAGUCUACAAAAACAGAAGAAGCAACCAAAAAGCAGCAUUAGGCCCCACCCAGAACAAGUCUUAGAACCAGUGAUAGAUUUUGCUUAAAACAGGGUUUUGUGAAAGAAAGGCAACAAGUGAUGCAGCAAGUAGAGCUGCAAGCACCCCUUUUACCACCUACACUUCAGGAAAGAGCUAGCUCUCUCCCCCCAUUAGGGAGGACAAGAACAGGUUGAAUGCAGUUUAAUAACAUUUAAACCUUUAUUUCAGUGCACAAGUAAAGCAGGUCCUGGCUUCACAAAAGCACAUCUUGGUUUAACUAAUUAAUUUGAUAAUCCGCUAUUUGCAAUCCUCAGGAGACAUUCAGCAUCUAAAGCAAGUAAUUACCACUAAGUGGCAACCUCUUUGUGAGGCCCAGUCUGAUUAGGGGAAAAAUUUCUUAAGCCAGAAAUAUAAUCACGGUGUGAUUUCCCAGAAGGACUGAAGGAGAGACUACAUAACAACAGCUGGUCACGCUCACCAUCUGAAGCAACAGAAGCAACUCAAUUACUAAGUCUCCAGCUACAAUUCAAGAUGUUGUUCAGUGCCACGUGCAACCAUGGCCUGCAGUUAACCAUCAGGAAGUCUUACAGGAGGUAUUUUGUAGGGACAGAAAUCAGGAAGGUCCCACUUGGGGGGCAAGAAGGAAGAGGAAUUUUUUUUUUUUUUUUUUUAAAUUCACACAUCAGGCUGGCUGCAGCACAUAUUGAAACAGGUGAUUCUCCCCCUCUGUCCUCAUGAACCACAUAUUGGAGUACUGCAUCCAGGUCUGGGGUUCUCAGCACAGGAAUGAUAUGGACCUGUCAGAGCAGGCCCAGAGGAGGCCACAAAGAUGAUCCUAGGGCUAGAGCACCUCUUCUAUGUCAACAGUCUGAGAAAGUUAGAAGUGUUCAGCCUGCAGCAGAGAAGGCUUUGAAGAGAUCUUAGAGCCCCUUCCAGUACUUAAAGGAAGCUUACAAUAAAAAGAGAAAAGUUUUUAUGCAGGCAGAGAGUGAUAGGACAAGGGGGAAUGGUUUUAAGAUACAAGAGGAGAGAUGUAGAUUGGGAAGAAAUUCUUUACUCAAAGGAUAGUGAGGCACUCGCUCAGGUUGCCCAGAAAAGCUGUGGAUGCCCGUCCCUGGAAGUGUUCAAGGCACAGUUGGACAGGGCUUUGAGCAACCUGGUCUAGUGGGUGGCAUUCCUGCCUAUGGCAGGAAGGGUGGAACUUGGAGAUCCCUUAUAACCCAAACCAUUCUAUGAUUCUAAGUCCAAGCUCAUCAUGUGCAUUCCCACAGAGAAGCAAUGCCAGCAGUGGAAUAUCAGCUUUACAGCCUCUGCCCAGAUACGAAGGCACACCUUGAUGACACACAGUGUCUUCCCAGACAAGCCAGCUGGCCUCAAUACAUGCAGAGUACUUGCUGGUUAGACUAGCUCUGGGCAUCCCCAAGUGCCCAGGGUUUUGGCUCAGCUGGCAUCAGUCACUGCCAGAGUCCACAGGACAAAGUCCUGCUUCUGCACUCAUCCAAGACACCCAUCUCAGCAGCUUUGGUCUCCUUUAACUUUGGGCCAGGAAGGGGACACACUGAGAUGCCUCCAGGCCUUAUGAAGUGGCUAUGCUGCACACCAGUCUUGGGUUAAUGCUGUUACAACAGGCUCUAGAGACUUCUCCUUGAACUCACGAAUGCAGCCAGCACAGGUAGGAGAAGGGCUUGGAUGGAAACCCAGCCUCCUGCCCAAUCAGACACCAUCUCAGUGCACCCACACCCUGAGGGUGUUCCUCACUGCAGUGGGCUCCCCUCUUGGGUGCUGGAUCUCAUCAUUCUGGUACUUUGAGUACUAGGCAGGUGCACUGGUUGGCAGGAUGUGACCAUGCUGGAGAAAAUAUUCCAACCCUGCAAAAGAGCCUAUAGGACACAGAGCCAGGCAGGGACACACCUCUGUGAAUGUGGAGUCAAGAGAGAUUAAAUGGUUUAAGAGGAGCUACUUGUCUGUCUCCCUGGAGUUUAGGCAUUGCCUGCCUUCCCUGAGAACAAAGCUCUCUUGGCUUAGAAACCCAGCUGCGGUUUCAGGACUGCUGCUUCAAAACUCACCACAGUCUCUGAACAGGAGAACAGGUCAGCUUUUUCUGUAGAGCAGCCUAAAAGCAAUCCAUCUCUCUCCAGAUCCCAAGUAUUUAAUGGCACAGAAGAGUCAUCUGUUUACCUUCCCUCCUGGCAGUGAUGUUGCAUGCCAUUUAGCCCCACAGCACAUGUUUACUGUACUCUCCGAGACAGCACGCUCACCUCUGAGCUAGACGUGCCAGCGGGCACCCACACCCUUCCUGCCCCGGCCCCUCUCCCACAGACAGGGGAGUCAUGGAACACAGGGUCACACACUACUGCAAAUUCCAUCCUCACUCACAGCUGCCAGGGCCUGCUCCUCUUUCCAGGUCUGCUUGGCAGAGUAAGGGAUGAGUAAGAGUAAGAGUAGGGAUGACAGACAGACAUCUCCUUCUAUGGCUCCACACCACCAGGAGCCCCCCACUUGUGUCCCUGCUCUGUGCCCAGUUCAUGCCAGAGCAACCAGUGCCCGUGAGACACCUGCCUAGCCUGCACCAAGAGAAAUAAGUACAUCCCUUGGAGGAUGCCACUGAGAACCAGCCAUUACCAGACAAGGGCUGGGACACAUUUCUGAUCUGGAGACCCAUCCCUUCUCUUCCCAAAACCAACCCAAUUCCAACUAUGCCCUGCUAGGAGGCAGGGCUUACAGCUCUAACCAGGGGAGGAAGGACCCCCUCUCCAACCACUGGCUGCAGUCUCUGCUCCACAGUUUGAAAAGUCAGGGCCAGCUCCCAGGUCCUACCUGGGGUGACAGUCAGGGACUCUGAUCCAGGAGCUUUGAUCCCCUGAACUGCUAUUCCCCUGGCUGCACACUCUGCCAAACUCUCAUCCAGUCCCUCCAAUCCUCCCAAACCCCACACUUACAGCCAGCUUUUGCAGAGCCUCUACCCAGCAGAUUCCAGCAGAUCUUGCAAACCAUUCUCCCAUGGCAGGAUGCCUCCAGAGAGAAGGAAAGCUCUCACCUCCCUGCAGUUUGCUUCUCCAGAGCAGGCAGGCAGGCAAGCAGCUGAGUUAGCUCAGCACUCCCUGGGGCAGAGCAAUAGCCCCAAGAUGAAUCUCCAGCUCCAGUCAGUGCCUUAGAGAGCAGCAUGGGCGUUCCCUGGGACCAGCUGUUGUGGUGCCUGUCACAGCUGGGCUGUGCUGCCCGCUGAACUCAAGCCGUCCCACUGUGAGUCCUCCAGGUGCUUCUCAAAGUACCCUUAAUCUGACUGGUAUUUCCAACAGGGGAAUGACAACCUGUUCAGGUCUGAGUGUUUCCCCAGAUACAGAAGAGACCUGCUUUGUCCCCCUCUAGUCUUGCCCAGCUGGUAGCAAAGGGGAAAGAUCUCAGUCCUCCAGCAGCUCUAAAAGGCUUCAGGCUGAUGUUCAAGUCCCUUUGCAGUAGGCAAAGGGCAGUUUGGGGUCAGGGUCUUCUCCCCAGGGGAGUCUAGAGCCAACUCUGCUGACUUCAGAUUCAGAGCACUGAGAAGGUUCCUUAUAAGCCAGGGAAGGGCUGGUUUGACAGGGAUAGGAGCAGUCUGCCAUGGAACAUCCACAGCUGGCAAUUAGAGGAAUGAACCUCAGGGAAUGCCUACAGCAAGGAUGCCAGGCAGGAACACAGAGCAGGUGGGACACAGGGCACAGGAGGAGGUGGUGUGAUGAGGAUCAUAGCUGCUGUACCAGGGAUCCUUUGCUCCCAGUGUGGGCUAGAGGCAGAGGAAGCACCAGGAAGCAGCGCAUGACUGACAUGAUGAGAGCCUGGUUCCAGCAAGGGUGGACACCUCCCCUCCCUGGCACCAGCACUGGAAAGCACCAGCAGGAAAUGGUGUGAUUCGAUGCCAUCAGCAGCAAUAACAAUGUUAUUGCCUCCUGAAGGAGAUGAGCAGCUUCCCCUUCAGACAGGCAGGGCAGAGGGCUCCUGCCUCCUGCCAGCGAUCUGUCCUCUCUCCCUCUUACUUGCGCUUCUUCCAGAAUAUUGCUGCUCUCUUCCUCCUUGAACCAGGAUCUCUGCUCCCAAAUCGAGACAGAGUAAGGGCAGCUACAGAGCAGCCUUGGGAAGGUUCGAGGAGGCUUAGACCCUUCUGGGGUUCAAACGGGACUGUUAGACUGGGGCCAUGAGCAUUUGGAGGAGGGACAAGUGGGUCCAGAGCUUCCUCCCCACCGCAGAAACACACAGGUCCGAGUGUGUGUUCUUUGCUGCUUUCCUUUCUUUAUAGAAUCAUACAAUGUUAAGAAGUUGGAAUGAACCUUAAAGACAAUUCUGUCCCAAUCCCUCUUGCCAUGAGCAGGGACGUCUCCCACCAGACCAGACUGCUCAAGAUUUAUCUAACCCGGCUUUGAACACUUCCAAGGUUGGAAGUGUUCGAACAACCUCCCUAGGCAACAUCUUCCAGAUGUCUCACCACCCUCACAGUAAAAGAAGGAUUUAGUUUUGGGCCAUAUUUUGCAGCCCUGCCUGGUUUUGCUGCCGGCUGACACGAAUGUGUCUGAGAAAGUGUGAGCUGGUGACUAACUGGAUCAGGAGAGCAGGAGGGAGCUGGGCAGCAGUUAGGGAUGGCACACCAAAGGAGGCCUGAAACUACCACAUGUAUGUUGUCUUUUCCCUUAAGACUACCCCGUCACGGAAUCCCCGGGGCCUUUGAGCCGCGCUUCACCGCAGCCGCUCCGCCGGGGGCUCCCUGAGGGGGC